UUAAAAAACUAGUUGUUUUUGUUUUUUUUAUAAGACACUAUAAACAAAUUUCUGUUAAAAAGAUGAAAAUGGAAAAGCUAUGUCAGAGAUCUUUAGUCAAGAAAAGUAAAGAAUAAUAAAAAAUAUUUUUUUAUGAAAGCUGUCUGCCAUCUGAAUCACAUUUUCCAUGCAAAGAAAAUCUAAAUAAGAAAAAUGUUGUAACAGAAAAGGGAGUGUUGACAUUUUUAAGUUCCCAAUAUUUUACAGCAAUCGGGUAUUUUUAUCUUUGCAUAUAAUAAAGUAGGGCUGCAUGAUAUGAGGAAAACUCGCGUUAUGCGAUAUUAGAGAUUAAAAUUGUGAUAAUGAUAAGAUUUGCGGUAUAUAAACAAAUAGCCAAAUAACCAUUCUCAUUACAUUGCAACAGUUUAAAAAUUAUACUCCAAAUGUCACUCGUCGACAUAGGUGCAAACAUCUAACAUAAUAGGCCUCCAUCCGAUUGGUCAAAUGCAUGAAGGGAUUUAUUUGAUUCGUUAAAUGGUUCAAGCUGACAUAAGAUUGUUUUAGGACAUUUUAAGGUUUACGAUUUAUUGCGAUAUUUGCCGUCUUUUGCGAUAUGCAUAUUGCAGAGCUGGAUUUUGCGAUAACGAUAAAUUUGCGGUAUAUUAUGCAGGCCUAUAAUAAAGCAUAUGUUUAGGUAUUUUAUAUGGAGUCAUUCAAAAAUAAUUAAUUGAUUUCAUGAUUUAAAUACUUUAUUAUAGACAAAUAAUACAUAAGCUGUUUCAUUUUCUUGUCUUAUAAUGUUGUUGCCACCUGCAGCACAGACAACAUCAAUGCAAUAAGAGAAUUUCCUCCAUGCAUCAUCCCAAACUAAGUCAUGGUGAUGUUUCACAUAGACAUAGAUCAUUUACAUCUACCUGUGCUGCAUCAUUAAACCAAAGUUUGUAUUGUUUAUUGACAAAAAUCAACUGCAUUUUUAUUUUUCAGGAGGGCACAGAAACGUCUGUGUCCUUACUGGAUAUCUACAAAGCAUGGCGUAGAAACUCCAAAAGGAAGCAAAACUCAGUUAAACGCUCCACUUCAGGGAAGAAAAAAGAAGCUCCAGCUGCAGACAAAUCCACGUCACCAAGAAAGACGACUGGCAGUCCUGCAAAAAAGACUGUUAAAGCAAAACAGAAGAAAAAUGAAGGAAAAACUUCCAAAGAUGGCAGCAUCUCAAAAAAAUCAGAGUCUGGCUCAACGGUUGAGGGUUCAGACUCUGACAGCAGUCUGGAUGUAGAGAAGUGGAAAAAGAUGGUCCUGCAGAUGACGGAGGCCGAUUUGGCCAAGAUGGAGCUCAUCGACGCUCUGGACUCCUCCAAACCCAAGAAAAAGAGAGUCAGAAAGCCCAGAGCAAAGCCUGUGGCAAAAACCCACACUCCCAGUGAGCAGAAUGCUGAUCUGGACACAAAGGAAGAAACCACCACGACACCAGUGAAAAAAAGCACACCAAGGAGGAGAAAAUCUGCAGUUCUGUCCUCUGAAACACUGAACAGCCAUGCUGUGGAGGACAUAGCUGUUGCUCUCUCACCAUCAAAACAAGCUGAAGACGAAGUUAACAGGCCAGCUGAAACGGCAGCUGAGCCCAGGAAAAAGAAAAGAGACAGAUCGAGUGAAAGCAAGUUAAAAAAGAAAACCCAUGAGAUGGAUGGAGAAGAACAGAAGAGCGAUGGAAAGGAGAGUGUAGCCACAGAACUAAAGAAGGACCAUAAAUCUGUGGAGGAGAAUAAAGAAGUUCAAGUAACAAACAUAGAAUUUGAAGAUGAUCUCAUGGGAAAUAAAGGAGCCAAAGAAAAUGUUUUAGAGUCUAUUUUGAAAGAAAAGAAAGACAAAAAGAGGAAAAAAGAAAGAAAUGAUGAGGAGGAACCAUUAGCUCAUGGAGACGAAGAAAAAAGGGUUAAAAAGAAGAAGAAAAAGAAGAGAGUUGAAAAUGAGGGAGACCCCACUGAGAAAACAAAAGAAAGUGCUGAGCAGGGCUUAGAAAAUGAAAACAUAGUAGACGAAAAGUCUGAGAGUGUUGAAAACAAGAAUGUAAAGAAGAAAAAGAAAUUAGUCGACGCAGAGAUCGGUUCUGAUCAUCCGGAUUUAGAAAAUACAGAAAAAAAUGAUCAAAGCCAGAAAGUAAAGAAGAAGAAGAAAAGAUUAAUCAAUACUGAGAUCAGUUCAGAUGAUCCAGUUACUGAAAAUGUGGAGCAAAAUGUUGAAGAACAUGCUGGAAAUGUGGAAGUGAAGAAGAAGAAGAAAAAAAACAAGACUGUUGAAAAUGAGGAAAAUCCAGAGCAUGUGGCUAAAGAAAAGAAGACAAAGAAGAAAAAACGAGAAGCUCAGGUUCAUGAGGACUCUGAGAUUUCUGAAGAAACGAUCAAGAAAACAAAAAAGGUUAAAAAACACACCGAUAAUGAGACGUCUGAGCAAGCAAAUGAAGACGACCAAACAACAAAUGAGACCAAAGGGAAGGCAAAGAUCUCAGAUGAAACAGAACCAUCUGCUCCCAGCCUGGAGACGAGUGCUCAGAAAAAGAAGAAAAAGAAAAACAAAGAGAAACCAGAGGACGUCCAAGAUGCUUCAGCAACAGAAGCUACGCCAAUAUCCGUCAGCAGCCACAAAAAGAAAAGAAAAUUAUGGAGCGGUGAAGAUGAGGUCCCUAUCACCGAGCAACCAUGA
rnacentral:lncRNA from 1 species